rnacentral:rRNA from 1 species
UACGAGAGGCCCGAGCGUUAGGCGGAAUCACUGGGCUUAAAGGGUGCGUAGGCGGACGUGUAAGCGUGUUGUGAAAGCCCCCGGCUCAACCGGGGAACUGCGGUGCGAACUGCACGUCUUGAGGCAGGUAGGGGCCGGUGGAACGUUCGGUGGAGCGGUGAAAUGCGUAGAUAUCGAACGGAACGCCCAUGGUGAAGACAGCCGGCUGGGCCUGUCCUGACGCUGAGGCACGAAAGCGUGGGGAGCAAACAGG